rnacentral:rRNA from 1 species
CUACGUGCCAGCAGCCGCGGUAAUACGUAGGGUGCGAGCGUUAAUCGGAAUUACUGGGCGUAAAGCGGGCGCAGACGGUUACUUAAGCAGGAUGUGAAAUCCCCGGGCUCAACCUGGGAAUUGCGUUCUGAACUGGGUGGCUAGAGUGUGUCAGAGGGGGGUAGAAUUCCACGUGUAGCAGUGAAAUGCGUAGAGAUGUGGAGGAAUACCGAUGGCGAAGGCAGCCCCCUGGGAUGGCACUGACGUUCAUGCCCGAAGGCGUGGGUAGCAAACAGGAUUAGAUACCCUGGUAGUCCACGCCCUAAACGAUGUCGAUUAGCUGUUGGGCAACUUGAUUGCUUGGUAGCGAAGCUAACGCGUGAAAUCGACCGCCUGGGGAGUACGGUCGCAAGAUUAAAACUCAAAGGAAUUGACGGGGACCCGCACAAGCGGUGGAUGAUGUGGAUUAAUUCGAUGCAACGCGAAGAACCUUACCUGGUCUUGACAU